rnacentral:rRNA from 1 species
AAGGUAUGCAAGUCGAACGAUCCCUUUGAAUUACUUGAAACUUCGGUUGAUUGUAUUUCUUUUUGGGAUAGUGGCAAACGGGUGAGUAACACGUGGAUAACCUGCCUUAAAGUCAUGAACAGCUCAUCGAAAGAUGGGAUAAUACAUGAUGGUCUUACAAUUUCUAUCCGACUUUGUAAGUAAAGCUCCGGCGCUUUAAGAGGGGUCCGCGUCCUAUCAGCUUGUUGGUGAGGUAAUAGCUCACCAAGGCUAAGACGGGUAGCUGGCGUGAGAGCGCGGUCAGCCACCAUGGAACUGAGACACGGUCCAUACUCCUACGGGAGGCAGCAAUUAGGAAUCUUGCGCAAUGGGGGCAACCCUGACGCAGCGACACAGCGUGGAGGACGAAGGUCUUCGGAUUGUAAACUCCUUUUAUAUGGGAAGAAUAGAUGACGGUACCAUAUGAAUAAGCACCUGCUAACUACGUGCCAGAAGCAUCGGUGAUACGUAGGGUGCGAACGUUAUCCGGAUUUAUUGGGCGUAUAGAGAUGCGUAGGCGUUUCUGUAAGUCUGAAGUUAAAGCCCACGGCUUAACCGUGGAAAAGCUUUGGAAACUGCAGAAAUUGAGACAGGAAGAGGCGAAUGGAAUUCCCAGUGGAGCGGUGAAAUGCGUUGAUAUUGGGAGGAACAUCAGUGGCGAAGGCGAUUCGCUGGUCCUUGUCUGACGCUGAGGCUCGAAAGCGUGGGUAGCAAAACGGAUUAGAUACCCGUGUAGUCCACGCCGUAAACUAUGGAUGCUAGGUGUUCGGUACAACCGUUUUUUCCUUCGGGAAAAAAUGGAAGUAUUGAGUGCCGCAGCUAACGCGUUAAGCAUCCCGCCUGGGAAGUAC